AAGUAAACCAAAGCAAGUUUAAUGUUUAUGCUUGACCAAAAUAAAGUGAGGUGUCACAUUAGUUACAAACGGAAAGAAAGACUUUAUCUUGAAUUGCAAGGCAGAACAUUUAAUCAUACUUACAUGUUUCAUUUACCUUCGUUUUAACUUUAUUUACAUUCAGAGCUACACUGAGGACCAACUCCCUCUUUUUUCAGGUGUCAUAAUUCAACAGAUGUAAACCGUGUCUGGCUGCAUACAGAUGUCGGAGCCGGACUGCUUCUCCCCAGUCAUUUGCCAAAUGUGGACCAGAGUCGGGCAACGGGAGGCUCUCCACGCCGAGGCUACUUCCACAAACAGUGACAAAAAAUUUCAAAAGCACAGAUCUCUGUUCUUACAAGUAGCCGCUCUUCAUGCCAAACACAGGUUGUUACGGCAAAUGAUGUCACUUGAGGCAGUUAAGAAGAAAGGGGGGAUGGUCCCAAGAGGGAGUCCCUUUUUGCUGGACCGCUGAGAGACUUCAAUACCUAUGCGAUCACUAUCACAGUCGCGGUGAAUAUAUCUGCAGACACUGCCAUUAAUUUAGCUGUCAAAGUUUUAAUUAAGCUCCAUAUAAUAUGUAUUAUGUAGGCUAGAAACAGAGAAUACAUGUAAGGUGGGAACCACAUAAAGAUCAUUGAUCAUUCACUCUUUUGUCCAAAAUGCCACUGUAUCCUGUAUGCUUAGCAAUAAAACAAUUUGUUUUUGUUUUUUUUCAUAUAAUUUAUUGGUGACAUUCCUCCAGAUGUUUAGCUUUCAGUGUCAAACAAUGCCGUUUUAAUGCAUUACUCAGCUUACAGUGUUCAAUACAUAUGACAUUUAUCAAAACUAUGCUUCAGAGCUGAUGUCAUUACAUAUAUUUAGACUCAAAUUUGUAUUAAAAAAUAGGAAACUGAAGAGUCUACUCUUACGGGAUUGUUCAAUUGUUCAAAGGUAACAGUGUUAUUCUAACAAUGCAGCUAUUAAGCUCUUCUGAAGAAAAUCUUUGAUAUUUGGAAGUGUAGAAACUAUGUCAUCAAUAACUUAAAAAACAUAUAAACAAAAUAAAUAUGUAUUACAUUAGUAAUAUACAAAGUACUCCUGAUUGCAGUUUAAGAACAGUAGCCUAUCACAUGUAAGUUAAAAAGCAUCUGUUUUAUGUGUAUGGAUCUUUGUUUUCUACUUUAUACUUCGAUAAGGAAAAAGUGCUUGUCUGUACACCACCUAUAAAAGCCGUAGUCCAAUACAUAACACAUCAUUGGCAUUGUCAAGCACUUGUACAACAUCCUAAUUUACGAUUACAAACAUUUACUCUAUGUUAUCUUGCUCACAUAAAAAAGCAAAUGACUGUACAGCUAUGUACAAUAAUUACACGUCUUUCCCUGGUGAAAAAAAGUACACUUUCAUACUUAAAGUGCUCU